GACGAACGCUGGCGGCGUGCUUAACACAUGGAAGUCGAACGGAAAGGCCCUGCUUGCAGGGUGCUCGAGUGGCGAACGGGUGAGUAACACGUGGGUGAUCUGCCCCUUAUUUUGGGAUAAGCCUGGGAAACUGGGUCUAAUACUGGAUAGGACCAUGCUGUAGGUGGUGUGGUGGAAAGAUUAGUUUCGGUAAGGGAUGAGCUCGCGGCCUAUCAGCUUGUUGGUGGGGUAAUGGCCUACCAAGGCGUCGACGGGUAGCCGGCCUGAGAGGGUGGACGGCCACAUUGGGACUGAGAUACGGCCCAGACUCCUACGGGAGGCAGCAGUGGGGAAUAUUGCACAAUGGGCGCAAGCCUGAUGCAGCGACGCCGCGUGGGGGAUGACGGCCUUCGGGUUGUAAACUCCUUUCAGCCAUGACGAAGCCCUUGUGGUGACGGUAGUGGUAGAAGAAGCACCGGCUAACUACGUG
rnacentral:rRNA from 1 species